ensembl:lncRNA LINC02328 long intergenic non-protein coding RNA 2328
AGCAACCCUUCUGGGUCCCCUUCCACCACGCAGAAGCUUUACUUUCGCUUUCACUUUACUUUUGCUUUCACUUUAACAAAUCUUGCAGCCGCACACUCUUUGGGUCCGCCCGUUUCUCUAAUCAAGUUGUAACACUCGCUGCUGUGGUCCACAGCUUCAUUCCUUGAAGCCCGUGAGACACGAACGCUUCCAUUGAGAAAAACCUUCCAUCAGAAGAAGACUUCUCGUCUCAGUGGGACUGCUGAGUUGAAUGGUGCUUUUUUUUCUGAAGCUUUGGUAGUGUAACUGUAAGAGUCCUGGAAUUGGAAAAGCAAAUCCAGAAGUUGAGUUCCAUGACUUUUUUGCUGUUUGCCUUUGGACUUGCAUCAUUUAUAUUUUUAAUUCAUCGAGGAUGAGAAAAUUGAUUAACACAAAAUCUUUUCAUGUCUUUUCUGAUGAGAGACUAGCUGAAUCCAAGAAGAGAAGCCCUUGAAGAGUGUAUUCUAUUCUAGACAAGCAUUCACACAUUGGCUUCUUUGGUGCCAGAUUAAAGAAUGAAGAAAGGAUCAAAUUGAGACAUCCAGGGGGGAAGAGUUCCCUGGCAAAACUCCAAUCUGCCUGAGCACUGAGGUGGAGCCACAGAAGUCCGGGUCAUUUGCACCUGGGAGGAGCCUGGCCCCUCCUCUUCCUGUGUGGAAUCUGGGAUUUAAUCUGUGAGGAGGGAAGGCCAAGGGCAGGAAGCACAGGCUCUCACUUCACUAAGAGUCUCUGUUUCCCCUUUUUUUCCUUUAUGCCUAAUUAAUAAAUCCCAUUUUUCUCACUCUUCAAAUAGUCUUCAAGCCUAAAUUUUCAUGACCAUGGAACAAGGACCCCAUCUUUAGCUGAACUAAGGAAAAGUCCUGCAACAAAAUUCUUUGCUAAAAAUACAUGAGGUUGCCUUUUCCUUCUUAAUCUUAAAAGAAAUAUAUUUCAAUGGUUAACGUUUUAGUAAUUCAAAAAUUAUCAAGCAUUUGUUCACAACCAUAAGAUGUGCAUUGUUUUAUAUUCCUACUUAAUAAUAGACUAUAAUUGUCUAAUUAGACUGCCGAUGUUGAUCUUUGUGGCUCAUUGCAUUGAUUAUAAGCAGUGUUUUGGGUUUGUGUGUGUGUGUCAAAUUUAGGGUUUUUUUGGUAUGGCUGCUGGUUGGUGUAGCCUGUAUCCAGUAUCCUGUAUUAAUUCUAAUAUUUGCAUUUUGAACAUAUUUACAAGUUGCUAAAAUAGCAAAGCUUCGAGAUGAGCCUGGCUGAUAUGGCAAAACCCCGUCUCUACUAAAAAUACAAAAAUUAGCCUGGUGUGGUGGUGCAUGCCUGUAAUCCCAGCUACUUGGAAGUCUGAGGCAGGAGAAUCUCUUGAACCCAGAAGGUGGAGGUUGCAGUGGGCCAAGAUCGCACCACUGCACUCCAGCCUCGGUGAUAGAGCGAGACUACGUCUCAAAAAUAAAAUAAAAUAAAAUAAAAUAAAAAUAGCAAAGCUAUGUAUGGUUUCUCUGAGUUUUGUAAUUUAUCAUUGUUAACUGCAGAAAUUUAUUAUAUGAGACAUAUUAUAUGAGACAUAUAAGUGAAUUUGGAUUGGGUUUAAUUUUAUAUUUUUGAAUAUAGUUCUUCAAGAUAAAUUUUAUCUUAGACCUCAAGAAAUAAAAAUAAAAUAAAUUAGAUAUACAAACGAACACAAAUGUAUGCAGUCCUAGCCUAAUUUAAGACAUUAACUUGGAUAAGUCAAAGGUAUAUGUUGCAAUUCCUGGAGUAACCACUAAAAAUAAUACAAUACUAUUAUAUCUAGAAAUCUAAUAGAGUAAUUAAAAAGUUUUAUUAAUCCCCAAAAAGGCAGAAAAGUU